UACGUACCGUCCAAACGUUAUUCGGAUUCACUGGGCUUAAAGGGUGCGUAGGCGGCUCAGAAAGUAGGGUGUGAAAGCCCUCGGCUUAACCGAGGAAUUGCGCUCUAAACUACUGGGCUUGAGGAACGCAGAGGUAAGCGGAACUUACGGUGGAGCGGAUGAAAUGCGUUGAUAUCGUAAGGAACACCAGGAGCGAAAAGCGGCUUACUGGGCGUUUUCUGACGCUGAUGCACGAAAGCUAGGGGAGCGAACGGG
rnacentral:rRNA from 1 species